CGGGGAUGCCUGAGUUGGCUUAAAGGAGCGGAUUGCAAAUCCGAUGUUCGUGGGUUCGAAUCCCACUCCCUGCUC
rnacentral:tRNA from 1 species